UACGAAGGGGGCUAGCGUUGUUCGGAAUUAUUGGGAGUAAAGGGUGCGUAGGCGGUUUUAUAAGUAUUGUGUGAAAUCCCUCGGCUCAACUGAGGAACUGCACGGGAUACUGGAAGACUUGAGUUCGGGAGAGGGAAGCGGAAUUCCGGGUGUAGCGGUGAAAUGCGUAGAUAUCUGGAGGAAUACCGGUGGCGAAGGCGGCAUCCUGGACCACAACUGACGCUGAGGCGCGAAAGCUAGGGGAGCAAACGGG
rnacentral:rRNA from 1 species